UUAAUCUCAAAAAAUUUAUCACUACAGGAAAGUGGCGACUCUACUGGGGAGUAGUCCCUAGCGGGUUAAGUCGAUCUUUGUUUUUUGUGUAUAUAUUAUGUUUGAUGUUGUUUGUUAUUGUUUGUUAUGUCUAGUACUUGGUGAUCUUUGUGUGGUGAGAUAAGUCCUAUACCCGGACUUGAGAGCUCUUAAAGAUAGGAGGGUGAUAUAGUCAUGUUUGGCUUACGUGGAGUUAAU
rnacentral:lncRNA from 1 species